CCACAAGCCUUGGGAACUGAGAUGUUAUGCCACAUGUAUAAUAAAAAUGACAUAUAUUGCGUACCCUAAAUCACCACUUGAACACAACCAUAUUAUUGGUAUUGCUGCUUGGCGGUAGAUUAUCUGAUGAGUGAGAUGUACCUACCCAGGGUUCGCACAAAAUCCUACCACAAAGUCCGCUACGCUAUAUGUAUAAAUAUUUUUAGCAUGUUUCCAUUUUUAUCAAUACAACAAUGAAGCGAAGGACUAAAUAAUCCGAGUUGAAGUAAUUUCAAGUAAAUCGAAUCUUCACCCUUUUAGAACAUUGCUUGGAGUGAUCUGUAAAGAGUCUAUGCUGAAGGCAGCAUGCAGCGCCUCCGCGGCCCGAGCGCCCCCCGCUCCCGCCGCCCACGCGCGCCACGAGCCCACCGACACGGCGGCCGCGUCGUCCCGCCAGCGGACCGCGCCGUCGCAGGACCACGCCGCGCAUAGCUCUAUAUAACAACUUUAAGGGCUACUCUACUGAAUGGCUUCUUGUCACAUAUGGAGAGCCAACCUUGCGAGAUCAAUUGCCGGCUGCAAAGCCUGUGACCAGGACAGCACCCCGAGCUUCGCGUGCAGAGCAGCCAGAGCGACCAGCAGCCGCGGAGGUCUCGAUGUGAUUUGUUUUCCCGAUGCCGCUUCUUCGCCGCCCCACUCCACCACUGUAGGCAGCUGUGUUCGCGACGACCUGUACUCCCAGUAUACCAAAGACCCGCUCCUGAAAUAUAUUGAAACGAAGAGCGACUGAGCCGGCACGCGGUGCGAUGGGAUCGCCAUGAUAGACGCGGUGCCGACGCGGCGGCGGGCGAUUCCGUUCGGCUGGCUUUCGCUUGCGUUGCGAUUCGCCUGCGCCCGGCGCUCUCUCGGAGGCGUCUGAUGGAAUUGCUCAAUGGAUCGUAAUACCAAUUUAUAGCCUGCUAUUUUGUGCAGCGUCGCCUGGUUAAACUGCAUAUGUGACUAUGUUUCGUGUAUGGUUAAAAUAAUUAUAUUUUAUCACUACUUAGAUACCAUAAAAAAAUGUAUUGUGAACCCAAUCAAAGAAAUGUUAUACAAAUUACUAGGAAAUAUGAGUUUACGUAUUUAAUUUAAUGGUUCAAUGUUAUGUUUUGAUAAUGAAUGAAACACGUCUUUGCAAUGCUUAACUCCACGUAACGCCAUCUAUUAGGAAACUUUAGCAAUGCUGACGACUUAUAAGAGAGUGAAGGUAACAAGAAAGUUCAAUGAUCGUUUGUAACAAUAUACACGGGUAGGCUACUUCUGAUGUUAAAUAUUGCCGAAUAAAAUAUUACUCACAUUACUUGAGUACGUGCUUACGUACAUAGACACAUUUGGAUUAUUAAAGUGUACUGUUUAGUGUCAUGUAGUUCACUAAUAACGCAGUUCUACAGAAUAAAUACAGAUGGCGCUGCUGAUAAAAAUGUUGUAAUUUAAAUUAAAGGGUCAAGUUGCUCCAGUAGGUAGAAAACGCAGACCUUACUCUGAUUUUACGAGUUAGUAUCUGUCAAGUACUUUUCAAUUCACAUAAACUUAUUUACAUAUUAGUAUUUAUAAGCCCCCA